AAAAAAAAAAAAAAGAAAAAAAAGAAAACACCCUACGGGUUUGCCUGCCGCAGAUCUUACGGAGAUGUUUUCUCACGUGGGUUCCCUCCUCUCAGAUGACUUUAGCUUGUGUCCGGUUGAUAAAACCGUUCAGCACAAUUGGCCUUUGUCAAUCGACACCCCAGUAACAGCACUAUUUAGUAAUAACUUCAGUCUACCAGACAUCAAUAAACACCAAUACCACAAUACAAAACAUACUUCAGACUUCUCUACAAAUCAGUUUAGGAUUCGGUCUCUUUGGAGCUGGAGCAAUGCCCAGUGGUUAGAGCACCAGUUGUCAUUUCGGAGGACCUGGGUUCGAUACCCAGCACCCCCCUGACUGCUCACAACCAUCUGUGACUCCAAGGGACCCAACACCCCCUUCUGGCCUCUGCAGGCACCAGGCACACAUGCGGUGCACAGACAGACAUGUAGGCAAAGAAACUACACACAAAAAGUAAAA
rnacentral:lncRNA from 1 species